rnacentral:rRNA from 1 species
ACCUACCUAUAAGACUGGAAUAACUCCGGGAAACCGGGGCUAAUGCCGGAUAACAUGUUGAACCGCAUGGUUCUACAGUGAAAGACGGUCUUGCUGUCACUUAUAGAUGGACCCGCGCCGUAUUAGCUAGUGGUGGGGUAACGGCCUACCAAGGCGACGAUACGUAGCCGACCGAGAGGGUGAUCGGCCACACUGGAACUGAGACACGGUCCAGACUCCUACGGGAGGCAGCAGUAGGGAAUCUUCCGCAAUGGGCGAAAGCCUACGGAGCAACGCCCGUGAGUGAUGAAGGUCUUCGGAUCGUAAAGCUCUGUUGUUAGGGAAGAACAAAUGUGUAAGUAACUGUGCACAUCUUGACGGUACCUAACCAGAAAGCCACGGCUAACUCGUGCCAGCAGCCGCGGUAAUACGUAGGUGGCAAGCGUUAUCCGGAAUUAUUGGGCGUAAAGCGCGCGUAGGGUUUUUUAAGUCUGAUGUGAAAGCCCACGGCUCAACCGUGGAGGGUCAUUGGAAACUGGAAAACUUGAGUGCAGAAGAGAAAGUGGAAUUCCAUGGUAGCGGUGAAAUGCGCAGAGAUAUGGAGGAACACCAGUGGCGAAGGCGGCUUUCUGGUCUGCAACUGACGCUGAUGUGCGAAAGCGUGGGGAUCAAACAGGAUUAGAUACCCUGGUAGUCCACGCGUAAACGAUGAGUGCUAAGUGUUAGGGGGUUUCCGCCCCUUAGUGCUGCAGCUAACGCAUUAAGCACUCGCCUGGGGAGUACGGUCGCAAGACUGAAACUCAAAGGAAUUGACGGGGACCCGCACAAGCGGUGGAGCAUGUGGUUUAAUUCGAAGCACGCGAAGAACCUUACCAAAUCUUGACAUCCUUUGACCGCUCUAGAGAUAGAGUUUUCCUCUUCGGAGGACAAAGUGACAGGUGGUGCAUGGUUGUCGUCGCU